UACGUAGGGUGCGAGCGUUGUCCGGAAUUACUGGGCGUAAAGAGCUCGUAGGUGGUUUGUCGCGUUGUUCGUGAAAACCGGGGGCUUAACCCUCGGCGUGCGGGCGAUACGGGCAGACUUGAGUACUGCAGGGGAGACUGGAAUUCCUGGUGUAGCGGUGGAAUGCGCAGAUAUCAGGAGGAACACCGGUGGCGAAGGCGGGAUCCUGGGCCAGUACUGACGCUGAGGAGCGAAAGCGUGGGGAGCAAACAGG
rnacentral:rRNA from 1 species